GCAUUGGAGUAGCAAUACUUCAGAUGGCGACCGGCGCACGGGUGAGUAACACGUAUCCAACCUGCCGCUUACUCGGGGAUAGCCUUUCGAAAGAAAGAUUAAUACCCGAUGGUAUAAAGAGUUCGCAUGUUCUCUUUAUUAAAGAAUUUCGGUAAGCGAUGGGGAUGCGUUCCAUUAGAUAGUUGGCGGGGUAACGGCCCACCAAGUCUACGAUGGAUAGGGGUUCUGAGAGGAAGGUCCCCCACAUUGGAACUGAGACACGGUCCAAACUCCUACGGGAGGCAGCAGUGAGGAAUAUUGGUCAAUGGACGAGAGUCUGAACCAGCCAAGUAGCGUGAAGGAUGACUGCCCUAUGGGUUGUAAACUUCUUUUAUAAGGGAAUAAAGUGAGGGACGUGUCCCUUUUUGUAUGUACCUUAUGAAUAAGGAUCGGCUAACUCCGUGCCAGCAGCCGCGGCAAUACGGAGGAUCCAAGCGUUAUCCGGAUUUAUUGGGUUUAAAGGGAGCGUAGGUUGACAUAUAAGUCAGCUG
rnacentral:rRNA from 1 species